rnacentral:rRNA from 1 species
CAGCAGCCACGGUAAUACAAAGGGGGCUAGCGUUGUUCGGAUUUACUGGGCGUAAAGCGCACGUAGGCGGACUUUUAAGUCAGGGGUGAAAUCCCGGGGCUCAACCCCGGAACUGCCUUUGAUACUGGAAGUCUUGAGUAUGGUAGAGGUGAGUGGAAUUCCGAGUGUAGAGGUGAAAUUCGUAGAUAUUCGGAGGAACACCAGUGGCGAAGGCGGCUCACUGGACCAUUACUGACGCUGAGGUGCGAAAGCGUGGGGAGCAAACAGGAUUAGAUACCCUUGUAGUCCCUGUCUCUUAUCC